rnacentral:rRNA from 1 species
GGCUUGUUGAUUAUGAUUUCAAGUCUAGCCUGCCCAGUGAAAUAUUUAAAUGGCUGCGGUAUUUUGACCGUACAAAGGUAGCAUGAUCAUUAGUUUUUUAAUUGGAAGCUUGUAUGAAGGGUUUGAUGAGAAAAUUUCUGUCUCUAGGAAAAUUAAUUAGAAUUUUAUUUUUAAGUGAAAAAGCUUAAAUGUCAGUAGAAGACAAGAAGACCCUAUAGAGUUUUAUAUUUAUUUAAUUAAGAUGUAUAUUAGUAUGUAAAGUAAAUUUUUUUAAUAAGUAUUUAGUUGGGGUGAUAGAAAAAUUUAAUAAACUUUUUUUUUAUUUAUACAUUUAUUUGUGAGUGGUUGAUCCUGAGUUUAGAUUAAAAGAAAAAUUACCUUAGGGAUAACAGCGUAAUUUUUCUUAGAGUUCUUAUCGAAAGAAGAGUUUGCGACCUCGAUGUUGGAUUAAAAUUUAUUGUUGGUGUAGGUGCUGGUGUGAUUAGGUCUGUUCGACCUUUAAAAUUUUACAUGAUCUGAGUUUAAACCGGUGUGAG